rnacentral:rRNA from 1 species
GCUUGUCUCAAAGAUUAAGCCAUGCAUGUCUCAGUACAAGCCAAAUUAAGGUGAAACCGCGAAAGGCUCAUUAAAUCAGUUAUGGUUCCUUAGAUCGUACCCACAAUUACUUGGAUAACUGUGGUAAUUCUAGAGCUAAUACAUGCAAACAGAGCUCCGACCGGAGACGGAAGGAGUGCUUUUAUUAGAUCAAAACCAAUCGGUGGCGGGCUCGUCAUCGUACAACUUGGUGACUCUGAAUAACUUUACGCUGAUCGCACGGUCAAUCGCACCGGCGACGCAUCUUUCAAAUGUCUGCCUUAUCAACUGUCGAUGGUAGGUUCUGCGCCUACCAUGGUUGUAACGGGUAACGGGGAAUCAGGGUUCGAUUCCGGAGAGGGAGCCUGAGAAACGGCUACCACAUCCAAGGAAGGCAGCAGGCGCGCAAAUUACCCACUCCCGGCACGGGGAGGUAGUGACGAAAAAUAACGAUACGGGACUCAUCCGAGGCCCCGUAAUCGGAAUGAGUACACUCUAAACCCUUUAACGAGGAUCAAUUGGAGGGCAAGUCUGGUGCCAGCAGCCGCGGUA